AAAAAGAUAAGCUAAAAAAGCUAAUAGGUUCAUACCCUGUUUAUGAAGAUACAAAUUCUCUUUUUA
rnacentral:tRNA from 1 species